CACAGCUUUAUUGAAGCAGAGAGUCGUGGUCCCAUCAUCAGGGUUGCCUAGUAACCGGUCUACGCCACACCACAGAGUUUCAGAAUGGGCUGGACCACACACAAGUACCCAUUUUGGGGGAUUUCCAGUGGCAGUCCUACUCUCACUCCAUCACAUCACUUCUAAAAUCUGAGUCACAUGGUUCAAAUUUCACAGUACAAAGUGUGUUCUUGAGAUCUGGGGUUCUCUCCAAAAUGGAUAAUCAUUAUUGGUUUUGUAAUGCAAUGCCAAGACCAUCAAUAAGCUAGGCAAGGUGUUGGCGCAGAGACAACCCUGACAGCCCCGGAAUCCAGGCCACUUGAAUCCUUUUGUCCUGCUUUCAUUCAUCCCGGGUUCACCAACCCUAGGCACAGGGAGCAAGGACUUCCCCAUCCUCACUACCUUCGGACCUUUCUGCAGCCAUACUGAAGCCCUGACGGCUCUCUUGUUGAUGAAAAGCAACUUGUCCAUUGUCACGGGAGGGAAAAAAGAGACCUAAAUCAUUAAAACAUUUAUCCCCGAA
rnacentral:lncRNA from 1 species